rnacentral:rRNA from 1 species
AAUGAACGCUGGCGGCAGGCCUAACACAUGCAAGUCGAACGGCAGCAGAGGAACUGCUUGUUCUUACGGAGGGGGAGUGGGGUGAGGAACGGGUAUAUAUCCGAACUUGCUGUGGCGGAGGAGUUAACGAAGGGAAAGCUACGACAACACAGCAGACGACGUACGAGGGAAAGCACGGGAACGUUGGACUUGCAGCGAUACCAGGAGGCGAUGUCGGGUUAGAGAGUUGGCGGGGGAAAAGCCCACCAAGCGGACGAUCCGUAGCUGGGCUGAGAGGGUGAUCGGCCACCCUGGACCGGGGCCACGGCCCGGACUCCUACGGGAGGCACCAGUGGGGAAUAUUGGACAAUGGGCGCAAGCCUGAUCCAGCCAUCCCGCGUGGGUGAAGAAGGUCUUCGGGUUGUAAAGCCCUUUUUUUGGGAAAGAAGAGCAGCAGGUUAAUACCUCGCUGUUGUGACGGUACCCAAAGAAUAAGCACCGGCUAACUUCGUG